CCGAAUCGUGGGUCAAAAAUCGUGAUACGAACCGAAUCGUGGGUUUGGUGUAUCGUUACAGCCCUAUUGAUUAGAGUAAUUAAAUGGUUUAAAGUUAUUUGAAAGGUUGAAACAAAAUCUGUUAUCUUGUUAUUUUUAAAUCAACAGGAGCGGUUUAAAUCAAGAUUGGCAAAUUUGCAUCAACAUCACCAAGACUGCUUUAACCGCUUUAACGAAGCAGAAAAUAAAUUAAGACAAAAGACUUGCCUACAAAAAUCAAAGCAUUCGUUCAUCACCUGCAACAGCAACACUCACAUCAUCUCCAUCCUAUCCUGAGCAACCUACAUCAUGUGCAACUGCAACACUCAUGAUAUCUUCAUACUCUCCUGAGCAGCGUUUAUCACCUGCAACAGCAACACUCAAAACAUUCUGUUCAGCAAAGAGUCUAUAAUGAAUUCUGUUUUGAUUCUCCUUUUACUCUUACUUCAUAAAAACAUUUUACUACAUG